CCUACGGGGGGCAGCAGUGAGGAAUAUUGGUCAAUGGGCGUAAGCCUGAACCAGCCAAGUCGCGUGAGGGAUGAAGGUUCUAUGGAUCGUAAACCUCUUUUAUAAGGGAAUAAAGUGUGGGACGUGUCCUGUUUUGUAUGUACCUUAUGAAUAAGGAUCGGCUAACUCCGUGCCAGCAGCCGCGGUAAUACGGAGGAUCCGAGCGUUAUCCGGAUUUAUUGGGUUUAAAGGGUGCGUAGGCGGCCUUUUAAGUCAGCGGUGAAAGUCCGUGGCUCAACCAUAGAGUUGCCGUUGAAACUGGGAGGCUUGAGUAGGUUUGAGGCAGGCGGAAUGCGUGGUGUAGCGGUGAAAUGCUUAGAUAUCACGCAGAACCCCGAUUGCGAAGGCAGCCUGCCAAGCCAUGACUGACGCUGAUGCACGAAAGCGUGGGGAUCAAACAGGAUUAGAUACCCCGGUAGUC
rnacentral:rRNA from 1 species